GGGUUGUGAGGUUAAGCGACUAAGCGUACACGGUGGAUGCCUAGGCAGUCAGAGGCGAUGAAGGGCGUGCUAAUCUGCGAUAAGCGUCGGUAAGCUGAUAUGAAGCGUUAUACCCGACGAUACCCGAAUGGGGAAACCCAGUGUGUUUCGACACACUAUCAUUAACUGAAUACAUAGGUUAAUGAGGCGAACCGGGGGAACUGAAACAUCUCAGUACCCCGAGGAAAAGAAAUCAACCGAGAUUCCCCCAGUAGCGGCGAGCGAACGGGGAGGAGCCCAGAACCUGAAUCAGUUUGUGUGUUAGUGGAAGCGUCUGGAAAGUCGCACAGUAAAGGGUGAUAGUCCCGUACACAAAAAUGCACAAGUUGUGAGUUCGAUGAGUAGGGCGGGACACGUGACAUCCUGUCUGAAUAUGGGGGGACCAUCCUCCAAGGCUAAAUACUCCUGACUGACCGAUAGUGAACCAGUACCGUGAGGGAAAGGCGAAAAGAACCCCGGCGAGGGGAGUGAAAUAGAACCUGAAACCGUGUACGUACAAGCAGUGGGAGCCUACUCGUUAGGUGACUGCGUACCUUUUGUAUAAUGGGUCAGCGACUUAUAUUCUGUAGCAAGGUUAACCGUAUAGGGGAGCCGCAGGGAAACCGAGUCUUAACUGGGCGUUAAGUUGCAGGGUAUAGACCCGAAACCCGGUGAUCUAGCCAUGGGCAGGUUGAAGGUUGGGUAACACUAACUGGAGGACCGAACCGACUAAUGUUGAAAAAUUAGCGGAUGACUUGUGGCUGGGGGUGAAAGGCCAAUCAAACCGGGAGAUAGCUGGUUCUCCCCGAAAGCUAUUUAGGUAGCGCCUCGUGAAUUCAUCUUCGGGGGUAGAGCACUGUUUCGGCUAGGGGGUCAUCCCGACUUACCAACCCGAUGCAAACUACGAAUACCGAAGAAUGUUAUCACGGGAGACACACGGCGGGUGCUAACGUUCGUCGUGAAGAGGGAAACAACCCAGACCGCCAGCUAAGGUCCCAAAGUCAUGGUUAAGUGGGAAACGAUGUGGGAAGGCAUAGACAGCCAGGAUGUUGGCUUAGAAGCAGCCAUCAUUUAAAGAAAGCGUAAUAGCUCACUGGUCGAGUCGGCCUGCGCGGAAGAUGUAACGGGGCUAAACCAUGCACCGAAGCUGCGGCAGCGACACUUAGGUGUUGUUGGGUAGGGGAGCGUUCUGUAAGCCGUCGAAGGUGGCCUGUGAGGGCUGCUGGAGGUAUCAGAAGUGCGAAUGCUGACAUAAGUAACGAUAAUGCGGGUGAAAAACCCGCACGCCGGAAGACCAAGGGUUCCUGUCCAACGUUAAUCGGGGCAGGGUGAGUCGACCCCUAAGGCGAGGCUGAAAAGCGUAGUCGAUGGGAAACAGGUUAAUAUUCCUGUACUCGGUGUUACUGCGAAGGGGGGACGGAGAAAGCUAGGUUAUCCGGGCGACGGUUGUCCCGGUUUAAGCGUGAAGGUGGAUGACUUUGGUAAAUCCGGGUCAUUAUUAACACUGAGGCGUGAUGACGAGUCACUACGGUGAUGAAGUAACCAAUGCUACGCUUCCAGGAAAAGCCUCUAAGCUCCAGGUAACAUCAAAUCGUACCCCAAACCGACACAGGUGGUCAGGUAGAGAAUACUCAGGCGCUUGAGAGAACUCGGGUGAAGGAACUAGGCAAAAUGGUGCCGUAACUUCGGGAGAAGGCACGCUGAUGGUAGGUGAAGUGACUUGCUCACGGAGCUGAAAUCAGUCGAAGAUACCAGCUGGCUGCAACUGUUUAAUAAAAACACAGCACUGUGCAAACACGAAAGUGGACGUAUACGGUGUGACGCCUGCCCGGUGCCGGAAGGUUAAUUGAUGGGGUCAGCCGCAAGGCGAAGCUCUUGAUCGAAGCCCCGGUAAACGGCGGCCGUAACUAUAACGGUCCUAAGGUAGCGAAAUUCCUUGUCGGGUAAGUUCCGACCUGCACGAAUGGCGUAAUGAUGGCCAGGCUGUCUCCACCCGAGACUCAGUGAAAUUGAACUCGCUGUGAAGAUGCAGUGUACCCGCGGCAAGACGGAAAGACCCCGUGAACCUUUACUAUAGCUUGACACUGAACCUUGAGCCUUGAUGUGUAGGAUAGGUGGGAGGCUUUGAAGCGUGGACGCCAGUCUGCGUGGAGCCAACCUUGAAAUACCACCCUUUAAUGUUUGAUGUUCUAACGUGGACCCGUAAUCCGGGUUGCGGACAGUGUCUGGUGGGUAGUUUGACUGGGGCGGUCUCCUCCCAAAGCGUAACGGAGGAGCACGAAGGUUAGCUAAUCCUGGUCGGACAUCAGGAGGUUAGUGCAAAGGCAUAAGCUAGCUUGACUGCGAGAGUGACAGCUCGAGCAGGUGCGAAAGCAGGUCUUAGUGAUCCGGUGGUUCUGAAUGGAAGGGCCAUCGCUCAACGGAUAAAAGGUACUCCGGGGAUAACAGGCUGAUACCGCCCAAGAGUUCAUAUCGACGGCGGUGUUUGGCACCUCGAUGUCGGCUCAUCACAUCCUGGGGCUGAAGUAGGUCCCAAGGGUAUGGCUGUUCGCCAUUUAAAGUGGUACGCGAGCUGGGUUUAGAACGUCGUGAGACAGUUCGGUCCCUAUCUGCCGUGGGCGUUGGAAGAUUGAGAGGGGUUGCUCCUAGUACGAGAGGACCGGAGUGAACGCACCACUGGUGUACGGGUUGUGAUGCCAAUUGCAUUGCCCGGUAGCUAAGUGCGGAAGAGAUAACCGCUGAAAGCAUCUAAGCGGGAAACUUGCCUCGAGAUGAGUCUUCCCUGGGUACUUGAUACCCCUGAAGGGCCGUUGAAGACGACGACGUAGAUAGGCUGGGUGUGUAAGCGUAGCGAUACGUUGAGCUAACCAGUACUAAUGACCCGAGAGGCUUAACCUUACAACACCGAAGGUGUUU
rnacentral:rRNA from 1 species